rnacentral:rRNA from 1 species
UACGUAGGGUGCGAGCGUUGUCCGGAAUUAUUGGGCGUAAAGAGCUCGUAGGCGGUGUGUUACGUCGGCCGUGAAAACCUGCAGCUUAACUGUGGGCGUGCGGUCGAUACGGGCAUCACUGGAGUUCGGCAGGGGAGACUGGAAUCCCUGGUGUAGCGGUGAAAUGCGCAGAUAUCAGGAGGAACACCGGUGGCGAAGGCGGGUCUCUGGGCCGAUACUGACGCUGAGGAGCGAAAGCGUGGGGAGCGAACAGG